rnacentral:rRNA from 1 species
AGGGCACCACCAGAUGUGGAGCCUGCGGCUUAAUUUGACUCAACACGGGAAAACUCACCCGGCCCGGACACUGGAAGGAUUGACAGAUUGAGAGCUCUUUCUUGAUUCAGUGGGUGGUGGUGCAUGGCCGUUCUUAGUUGGUGGAGUGAUUUGUCUGGUUAAUUCCGAUAACGAACGAGACCUUAUCCUACUAAAUAUGUGGCCAAGUUUACAAACACUUGAUCUCACUCUCUUAAGGGGACAGGCGGUGAUUCAACCGCACGAAACAAGGCAAUAACAGGUCUGUGAUGCCCUUAGAUGUCGGGGGGCCGCACGCGCGCUACACUGAAGUGAUCAGCGUGCUGUGCUAUGGCUCCUCUGACAAGAGUGGGACACCCCAUGAACCUUCUUCGUGAUUGGGAUAGGAGAUUGUUAUUCUCCUCCUUGAACGAGGAAUUCCCAGUAAGCGUGAGUCAUAUUGUCGCGAUGAUUACCCCUGCUGUCCGUUGAACCCACCGCCCGUCGCUACUACCGAUUGAA